CUGAUUUUGAUGCAAGGCUAACAUUCCGGAGCUUGGUAAGCUCAAUCCAUGACUACAUGAACAAAAUCAGUGUUUUAGUAGCGAUUAGAAUUAGGAAAUGUAAUCGACAAUGUGCAAAGAAUGCAAAUGAUCUUUUUCAGAUUUUGAUGCAAGAUUGACAUUCCAGAGCAUGGUAAGCUCUAUUCAUGACUGCAUGGACAAGAUCAGUGUUAGAGUAACGAGUAGAGUUAAAAAAUGUAAACGGCGAUGUACAAAAAAGGCGAAUGAUUUUUUCGGAAUUUUAUUUUUUAAAUCACUUCAAAACCACGUGUUAAAUUAUUCUACUACAGCUGUCAUCUCCGGAGCUUAUAGAUAAUAGAGUAGGGGUGGAGAAGGAUGUAGGGAAUAAUAUGACAAUAUAGAAAAGAAAUUGUUACCAUUGUAUUCGGAAAGGAGGAUAAUAUCGAAAAUAUUAGAUCACUAAUUUAGUCGUUAAAAGAAAACACAUAUCGUCUAUUCUGUCAGACAAAUUAUUAGAGUGUCAUCGAGAGAGAUUCAAUUGUGACAAGUUACGCGAGAGCAGAGGGAUGCAAUUGAGCGUAAAUCGAAAAGUGUCGCUCGCAGAAAAGCAAGAACAUGAUCAUUGAACGGGACAGCUCAGUUUUGUGACGGACGAUGACGCGAACGGAUGUGCGUUAACAAAUCGAAAAAAAAGUAAAAAAAAAAAAAUAAAUAAAAAGUGAAAUAUUGAUGAUGCUAA